UUAAAUAAAUGACUUUUGCCAACAUCAACAAGCAAACAAUAGAAAACAGGACUCCACCAACAAAUGAAAAGGGGGUGUCAAAAAACUCCUUCCUAGAGCCAGCAGUAUGCAAUAAGACAUUUUGCAUUUGAAUCUCAGCUUGCUGAAAAUUCUCUAACAAUAGCUUCUCGCCCUCUGCCCUUUGGAAAAACACUCGAGUGGAAAAAUUGACGGCUGUUAUCCCCAAAAUUACAUUUUUUACAUUUUAACUGUCCUAAAUCUUCUCUGCUUUCUUUCUCCGAAUCUGUUUGUUUAAUUAGUCCCAAGAGAAUCAGCAUACAUUCCCUUCACACAUUUUGUUUUUAUAAACCUCAAGAAAAAUAGGCACUGAAAUAAGUUCUUCCCACUAUGGAGAAUAUUUGCAAACCAUCCAUCUGAGAAAGGAUUAAUAACCAGGAUAUAUAAGAAGCUCAAAUAACUCAAUAGGA
rnacentral:lncRNA from 1 species